GAUGAAGAACGUAGCGAAAUGCGAUACUUGGUGUGAAUUGCAGAAUCCCGUGAACCAUCGAGUCUUUGAACGCAAGUUGCGCCCGAAGCCAUUAGGCCGAGGGCACGCCUGCCUGGGCGUCACACGUCGUUGCCCCCCCAUCUACUCCUUCGGGAUUGCGGGGGGCGGAUGAUGGCCUCCCGUGCGCCUCGCCGCGCGGUUGGCAUAAAUGCCAAGUCCUCGGCGACGCACGCCACGACAAUCGGUGGUUGCGAAACCUCGGUUGCCCGUCGUGUGCGGUCGUCGCGCAUCGUGGGCUCGAAAAAAUUGCCGGGUUCCGGCUCGGCUUUCAACGCGACCCCAGGUCAGGCGGGGUUACCCGCUGAAUUUAAGCAUAUCAAUAAGCGGAGGA
rnacentral:misc_RNA from 1 species